rnacentral:rRNA from 1 species
AGAGUUUGAUCCUGGCUCAGGAUGAACGCUGGCGGCGCGCCUAACACAUGCAAGUCGAACGGCACCCACCUCCGGGUGGAAGCGAGUGGCGAACGGCUGAGUAACACGUGGAGAACCUGCCCCCUCCCCCGGGAUAGCCGCCCGAAAGGACGGGUAAUACCGGAUACCCCGGGGUGCCGCAUGGCACCCCGGCUAAAGCCCCGACGGGAGGGGAUGGCUCCGCGGCCCAUCAGGUAGACGGCGGGGUGACGGCCCACCGUGCCGACAACGGGUAGCCGGGUUGAGAGACCGACCGGCCAGAUUGGGACUGAGACACGGCCCAGACUCCUACGGGAGGCAGCAGUGGGGAAUCUUGCGCAAUGGGGGGAACCCUGACGCAGCGACGCCGCGUGCGGGACGGAGGCCUUCGGGUCGUAAACCGCUUUCAGCAGGGAAGAGUCAAGACUGUACCUGCAGAAGAAGCCCCGGCUAACUACGUGCCAGCAGCCGCGGU